rnacentral:rRNA from 1 species
UCGCGCGAUUGCCUUGAGUUUGAUAUGGCUCGAACGAACGCUGGCGGCGUGGAUAAGACAUGCAAGUCGGACGGGAUUACUUUUGGUAGCAAUACCGAAAGUGAUCCAGUGGCGAACGGGUGCGUAACACGUGGGCAAUCUGCCGAGAAGUGGGGGAUAGCUCGCCGAAAGGCGAAUUAAUACCGCAUGUGAUCAGAGGCGACAUCGCUUCGAAAUCAAAGGUGGCGCAAGCUACCGCUUUUUGAGGAGCCCGCGGCCUAUCAGCUUGUUGGUGAGGUAACGGCUCACCAAGGCGAUGACGGGUAGCUGGUCUGAGAGGACGACCAGUCACACUGGGACUGAGACACGGCCCAGACACCUACGGGUGGCAGCAGUCGAGAAUUUUUCUCAAUGAGGGAAACCCUGAAGGAGCGACGCCGCGUGGAGGAUGAAGGUCUUCGGAUUGUAAACUCCUGUCAUUUGGGAACAAGAUGUGCGCGUUAACUGCGCGCGCACUGAUAGUACCAGAAGAGGAAGAGACGGCUAACUCUGUGCCAGCAGCCGCGGUAAUACAGAGGUCUCAAGCGUUGUUCGGAUUCAUUGGGCGUAAAGGGUGCGUAGGCGGCGCGGUAAGUCGGGUGUGAAAUUUCGAGGCUUAACUUCGAAACUGCAUUCGAUACUGUCGUGCUUGAGGACUGGAGAGGAGACUGGAAUUUACGGUGUAGCGGUGAAAUGCGUAGAUAUCGUAAGGAAGACCAGUGGCGAAGGCGGGUCUCUGG